GACGAACGCUGGCGGCGUGCUUAACACAUGCAAGUCGAACGGAAAGGCCCAAGCUUGCUUGGGUACUCGAGUGGCGAACGGGUGAGUAACACGUGGGUGAUCUGCCCUGCACUUCGGGAUAAGCCUGGGAAACUGGGUCUAAUACCGGAUAGGACGAUGGUUUGGAUGCCAUUGUGGAAAGUUUUUUCGGUGCGGGAUGAGCUCGCGGCCUAUCAGCUUGUUGGUGGGGUAAUGGCCUACCAAGGCGUCGACGGGUAGCCGGCCUGAGAGGGUGUACGGCCACAUUGGGACUGAGAUACGGCCCAGACUCCUACGGGAGGCAGCAGUGGGGAAUAUUGCACAAUGGGCGCAAGCCUGAUGCAGCGACGCCGCGUGGGGGAUGACGGCCUUCGGGUUGUAAACUCCUUUCGCUAGGGACGAAGCGUUUUUGUGACGGUACCUGGAGAAGAAGCACCGGCUAACUACGUG
rnacentral:rRNA from 1 species